GGGGCUAUAGCUCAGUUGGUAGAGCAUCUGCUUUGCAAGCAGAAUGUCUUCGGUUCGAUUCCGAAUGGCUCCA
rnacentral:tRNA from 1 species